rnacentral:rRNA from 1 species
CCUACGGGUGGCUGCAGUGAGGCAUAUUGGUCAAUGGCCGGAAGGCUGAACCAGCCAAGUAGCGUGAGGGAAUAAUGCCCUAUUGGUCGUACACCUCUUUUGUCUGGGAGCAAAGUCUUCCACGUGUGGACUAUUGUAGAGUCCCUGCAGAUAAAGCAUCGGCUACCUCCGUGCCACCAGCCGCGUUAAUCCGGAGGAUGCGAGCUUUAUCCGGAUUUAUUGGGUUUAAAGGGUGCGGAGGCGGAGUGUCAAGUCAGCGGUAAACUUUCGGGACUCAACCCAGUCGUGCCGUUGAAACUGACGCCCUUGAGUGAGUGAGAAGUAAGCGGAAUGCGUGGUGUAGCGGUGAAAUGCAUAGAUAUCACGAAGAACGCCGAUUGCGAAGGCAGCUUACCGGAGCGCAACUGACGCUGAGGCACGAAAGUGCGGGUAUCGAACAGGAUUAGAUACCCGUGUAGUC